rnacentral:rRNA from 1 species
CCAAUAGCGUAUAUUAAAGUUGUUGCAGUUAAAAAGCUCGUAGUUGAACUUCAGGCCUGUCCAGACGGUCCGCCUUAAUUGGUGUGUACUGUCCUUGGGUGGGUCCUACCUUCUGGCGAAGCGGCAUGGCCUUAAUUGGUUGUGUCGGGGAACCAGGACUUUUACUGUGAAAAAAUUAGAGUGUUCAAAGCAGGCAAAUAUGCUCGAAUACAUUAGCAUG